AUUGCACCAUUGCACUCCAGCCUGGGCAACAAGAGGAAAACUUCGUCUCAAAAAAAAAAAAAGCAAUCACAAAUAGUUCUCCUCAGUUUUCCCAAUAAACACAGAAGCAUCACCAUCAAAGUAAAAUAUAUUCCAUUGCCUCCAUUGCCAACAGUAAUGAACGUAUAAAGAUUUAGGAUUUUAUAAAACAUUUAUAGAGAAAAAUGGAUAAUUAGGUUUGUCUCUCAGAAACUUUUUUCUCUUCCUGUCUCUCUUCCUUCCUCCCCAAAUCUAAUCUAUUUCAAGAUAAGUAUUACUCUAAAGUUAUUUUUUAAUUACAUCAGUUCCCAGCUCCUCUAUAAGAGACUUCAUUAUUAAAAAACAGCAACAUCGGGAAAGGAAGUUCCAGGGCCCGUGCUGGGAAAGAGGUGGGGGGACCAGGGGAAGACUCAGGGUGCAAUGGCAGCGCAAAUUCCAAUUGUAGACACCACUUCCACUCCUAGAAUAGUCCAGAACAGCAAGAAGAGGCCGGCCAGCCCUUCCCACAAUGGCAGCAGUGGCAGGGGCUAUGGCGCCAGUAAGAAGAAAAAAGUGUCUGCCUCCAGCUUUGCGCAGGGUAUCAGCAUGGAAGCCAUGAGUGAGAAUAAAGUGGCACUCUCUGAGUUUAGCACAGGACCUGUGGAAAAAGCUGCCAAACCUUUGCCAUUUAAGGAUCCCAACUUUGUACACUCUGGCCAUGGUGGCGCAGCUGCUGGUAAGAAGAACAGAACCUGGAAGAAUCUGAAACAAAUCCUCGCUUCCGAAAGGGCAUUGCCGUGGCAACUGAACAAUCCUAACUACUUCAGUAUUGAUGCUCCUCCAUCCUUUAAGCCAGCUAAGAAGUAUUCUGAUGUUUCAGGCCAACUACACAGACCCCCAGAGCAAACCGCGGUUCAGCACCAUUGAAGUUUUCCUACAUUCGGAGGCUGCCCUCUGACGUCGUCACCGGCUACCUGUCCCUGAGGAAGGCCACAAGCAUCGUUCCCUGAGCCCGAGAAAGGGAGAUGAAAUGGAAAGCUGUUUCAAAAACAGACUCUGGACUCGUGAUUUUGUUUCAUGGAAACAAACUCGUUCUGCUGUCAAUCUGAAAAUGCCAGUGCUGUGCCUUGGAAAGAAUGUUUGGCUUUCAUUUAAGGGUUUUUUUGAGUGUGUGUUUUCCCUCCAAGUGUGAUAUUUCCUGCUGAAUUAAAUUAUACUUCAGUUGUUGCCUCAAGUAAAGGUGUUUGACAAGAAAAUACAAUAACUAUACUUUUCAUUAAAAAAAAAAAAGCAACAUCUAGCAUGAAAAGAACAAUGACAGACCGUAUAAGUCAUUUACAUUAGCCAAAAAAAGCAUUAGUUUACAAUAGUGUUGUUUUCCCGUUUUUGAUACAUUACUAUUGUCAAUUUAGACAAGAAGAUGUUAUGUUACGAUUUUCUACAUAAAUUGCAGAACAAUGAGAGAACAAUCUGACCUCUUCCUGUGUGGAAGGCACAGGAAGCAUUUGAGGAAAGACGAAAUGGAAAAGCAU